rnacentral:lncRNA from 1 species
GUCUCUCUAUAUUGCCCAGGCUGGUCUCAAACUCCUGGCCUCAAGUGAUCCUCCUACCUCGGCUUCAUAAAGAAAUGGGAUUAUAGGGUGAGACCCUGUGCCUGGCCAUUAUGUAUUCUUAUGUGAAAUAAGUACUUCGUAAGAUAAUACAUAUAUCAUCAUGUAAUAAUAAUAACCAAUAUUUAUUGAGUACUUUCAGUGUACCUGAACUGUUCUAAGCACUUUAUAUAUAUUUCUGUCUUUAUCUAUCUACUAACUCAAUCUUCCUAACAACCUUUGAGGUACAAACUAUUAUCAUCCUCAUUUUACAGAUGAGAAAACUGAGAUCCAGAAAUUCAAGAUCAAUAACCAAUAAUUGAAAAGGAAGUUCAACUCUACCAACUGUCUAUAGCAUUUCACAGUGUUGUGGAUGAUUAUGCUGUCUAGGGAACUGAGUAGUUACUGCACUUUCAAAAACAUCAUCUCACAGUCCUGAGGUCCUGCAAAGUUUGUGUCUUUCCAUUCUUACAUAUAACUUACUUAACAGUUACUGCUAUCAAGAAAGUCUUGCCUUCUCACACUUCUUCCAUUAUUUUUAUGCCCUAUUUCAGUGAUCUAUCCACACAUCCAUCUUCAAGCUUCCCAAAGGCAGGAAUCACCUAUUGUUCGUCUGUAAACUCCAAUGAGAAACAUACAGUCUGGUGUAUGGGAGGUCAUCAAAACAAGUGUGGAGGUAUAAGCUAAGACUGACAACUGCCUCCCAAGUUUCUAUUCAAAAGUAAUCAUUUUGGAUGUAAAUCUCAUCAGGAAUGUGUUUAAACUCAGGAACUGCUGAAUUGUACUGUAACUUGGCUCAUCCCAAAUAGUGCAGUUGUCUUCACAAUGGAGAGACUGUCACAGCCUAAAAAGACACGUGACUCUGAGCAUCAGUUUACUGGCUGCCCACUCAAUGAUUCAGACUCCUCCAUUCUUUGUGUGGAAGAGAACUGGCCUUCCGGGAGCCUGAGGCCAAGUGAGAGAACCUUCUGAAAGCCGUCACUGCAUGGGGAGCCUGGACUUACCC